UGCCUUGCCCUUUUUUUCUGUGCGUAUAUUCUGUUUUGCAUAAGUCGGUGUGCCACCGGAAGAACCGCCCAUGCAGCUGCAUUUUUCCUCCGUCCCUUGGCAGCUCUGUGGAAUGUCUGUUUAUGCGACUUGUAGUUAAUUUGCAAGUAGGUCGAGAGAGCUAGUUCCGUGCGGUCAGGACCACAGAUGUGACUAAACUGCCCAAGGCCACCACCAGAGCUCCGAGCAGAAACUUCCAAGAAAUUCCCUGAAAGACUCUGUGAAAAAUAAGGUGGUCCUGCACUUUCUAACACUGACCAACAGAUGGUGCCAUUUCACCGUCUGCAAGCUGCAUUUCAGGCCCGUCAUGAUUGACUGGCUGGCGAUCAUGUUUAUAAGGGUGUCCGUAGGUGUAUUGUGAAUCUGCAAGCAGUAAAGCGAUCUCCCCUUUCGUCAUUGAAAUGACGCACUCUUCCAGGGCCUAUGCAUGCAAAACAGUCACAUUUUAAACUUCAGG
ensembl:lncRNA